rnacentral:rRNA from 1 species
AUUGAACGCUGGCGGCAGGCUUAACACAUGCAAGUCGAGCGGAGCGGCGGACGGGUGAGUAAUGUCUGGGAAACUGCCUGAUGGAGGGGGAUAACUACUGGAAACGGUAGCUAAUACCGCAUACUCUAAGAUGAGCCUCGGUCGGAUUAGCUAGUUGGUGGGGUAAAGGCGUACCAAGGCGAAGAUCCGUAACUGGUCUGAGAGGAUGAUCAGUCAAACUGGAACUGAGACACGGCCCAGACUGCUACGGUAGGCAGCAGUGGGGAAUAUGGGACAAUGGGCGAAAGCCUGUGCCAGCCAUGCCGCGUGUGUGAAGAAGGUCUUCGGAGUGUAAAGCACUUAAAGUUGGGAGGCGUUACCAACAGAAUAAGCACCGGCUAACUUCGUGGCAGCAGCCGCGGUAAUAC